AUCAACUUACCCUAUAGAGAAAAAUAACNUCGGGAAACUGAGGAUAAUAUUUCGUAGUUGAAUAGGCUUGGAAAAGUUUUUCAAUAAAAGGGAUAAAAAAAAUGGUUUUUAUCUGCUAUAGGAUAGGAUCGUGGACGAUUAUGGUUGUUGGUGAGGUAACGGCUCACCAAGCCGAUAAUCGAUAGGGGCCGUGAGAGCGGGAGCCCCGAGAUGGGUACUGAGACAACGACCCAGGCCUUACGAGGCGCAGCAGGCGCGGAACCUCCGCAAUACACGAAAGUGUGACGGGGUUACCCAAAGUGUUCAAUUCUGAACUGUGGUAGGUGAGUAAUGUUCCCUACUAGAAAGGAGAGGGCAAGGCUGGUGCCAGCCGCCGCGGUAAAACCAGCUCUUCAAGUGGUCGGGAUAAUUAUUGGGCUUAAAGUGUCCGUAGCCGGUUUGGUAAGUUCCUGGUAAAAUCGGGUAGCUUAACUAUCCGUAUGCUAGGAAUACCGCUAUACUAGAGGGCGGGAGAGGUUUGAGGUACUACAGGGGUAGGGGUGAAAUCUUAUAAUCCUUGUAGGACCACCAGUGGCGAAGGCGUCAGACUGGAACGCGCCUGACGGUGAGGGACGAAAGCCAGGGGAGCGAACCAGAUUAGAUACCCGGGUAGUCCUGGCCGUAAACGAUGCAUACUAGGUGAUGGUACGGCCAUGAGCCGUAUCAGUGCCGUAGGGAAACCGUUAAGUGUGCCGCCUGGGAAGUACGGUCGCAAGGCUAAAACUUAA
rnacentral:rRNA from 1 species